rnacentral:rRNA from 1 species
UGGUGGAGUGAUUUGUCUGGUUAAUUCCGUUAACGAACGAGACCUUAGCCUGCUAACUAGUCGCGGCGAUCUCGAUCGUCGUCGGCUUCUUAGAAGGACUUUGUGGCACUAAACACAAGGAAGUUUGAGGCAAUAACA